rnacentral:lncRNA from 1 species
AAGAGAAAGAAAAAAACUUGCAUCAAGAGAGGUCAUGAAGCACUUAUCUGGGAAGUCUAUGGUUGGCAAUAAGCUUGCAUCAAGAGAGUAGCAAUAAAAGAAAAUAUAUACGCCAAUGAACCUCAACAAAGAAAAAAUGGUGUCCAAAAGAAAUACCCUCAAGUUUGAAAUUUGAACAAACAGCACAAGGGUAAUAACACGAAAUCUGAGCCUAAACCCCUAAUAUUCCCUUUUUUGUUUCUAUUACCCACCUUACAC